GAUGAACGCUGGCGGCGUGCCUAAUACAUGCAAGUCGAGCGAACAGACGAGGAGCUUGCUCCUCUGACGUUAGCGGCGGACGGGUGAGUAACACGUGGAUAACCUACCUAUAAGACUGGGAUAACUUCGGGAAACCGGAGCUAAUGCCGGAUAAUAUAUUGAACCGCAUGGUUCAAUAGUGAAAGACGGUUUUGCUGUCACUUAUAGAUGGAUCCGCGCCGCAUUAGCUAGUUGGUAAGGUAACGGCUUACCAAGGCAACGAUGCGUAGCCGACCUGAGAGGGUGAUCGGCCACACUGGAACUGAGACACGGUCCAGACUCCUACGGGAGGCAGCAGUAGGGAAUCUUCCGCAAUGGGCGAAAGCUUGACGGAGCAACGCCGCGUGAGUGAUGAAGGUCUUCGGAUCGUAAAACUCUGUUAUUAGGGAAGAACAAAUGUGUAAGUAACUAUGCACGUCUUGACGGUACCUAAUCAGAAAGCCACCGCUAACUACGUG
rnacentral:rRNA from 1 species